rnacentral:lncRNA from 1 species
GGAGUUUUACACAGUGGGCAAUGGACAUCAUUUUAAAAUGUUCCAUCAUUCAAGGGGAAAUUGAUCUGGGGAUGAUAAUAUCUCCAAUGUUGUUGUGCCAUGGAUCAGCCAAGUGAGUUGCCAAGUUCUCCAAUGGUCCAGUUCCAGGGUAAGCUGAUUGUUGAACACAAAAUCCCACAAACGCCAACAAUGCCAAACGACCUGCAAACAACAAAAUCAAUCGGAUUUUCUUGGAUGGGUAGCUCAACUCUCAAACAAUUCUCAUCAAACAUAUAAAAAAAGGGAUUGAAGUUCUUUACCGUUCUUGAUCUCUUUGACUUUGUAUUCCUCGAACUUUUUAGGGUCCUUGGAGUAUCCCAAGGGGUCGAAAGCACCGCCGGGGUACUUCUUUUUCUCGGUAUCUUUCUCCAUGCUGCGUUGGUGCUCGACGAAGGCGAUGGCAAGGAACUCGAUGACCAAGAUUGUUGGGAGAGUUCCCCAUGGAACAGGGUUGCCUAAGUAAGUGGCUUGCCCACCAGGAACGGCUGCCCAUUCUUGUGCCUUUACCCAGUUUCCAUACCCCAAUGCCUCUGGCACCAAUAUACCAGGCUGCAAAUUAUAGUUUUAUUAGACUCAAUUUGAGGAUUUAGUUAAUUUUUUAUUUAAAUAUUAAACCUUUUAUUGAUUUUAGUGUUACGAGUGAAUCCAACACCAACACAGUUGAAUGAUAAUGAAUAUAUUCUUACUUUAUAAAAUAAAUUAUAUUAUUUUAAAACUUAUUUUUAUCAUUUUAUAUCUUUUAUAUAAAGAAAUAAAUAUAUAAAUAUACAUAAUAAAAUUUGGACCAAAGUCUCUAGAGCUUUCAAUAUUUAUACUUUGUCGUUCAACCAAAAUCUCAUUUGUUAGACAUAUAUUUUUAUAUAAAUAUAACAUAAUUUUGCUUUUUCUUUCUUAUAAUGAGUGUGGUAUUUUAAUAUAUAUAUAUAAAAUAAUAAAAUAUAAUUAUUGUGAUAAUUCACUUUUAAAAUGGGCUUAUUUAAAGAGAAACAUUUGCCGUUAUAGUGAUUUAAGGUAAGUAAGAGGACUAAAUUAGACUAAAUUAAAAUAUAGAGACUAAAACCAUAAUUUGAGGGAAGAAAACACUUACAACAGCAAGCAUAGCCCAUCUGCAGUGAAUCAACUCAGAUUCCUUGUAUCUCUCAAGGUUCUCCGGCACCUCACCAAGUCUAAGUGGAUCAAAUCCAAAGUCACUGAAAAACCAAAUAUAUAUAUACACACAUUCAUAAGAAAUACUUAAAAAUUGCUACAAAAAGAAAAGAAAGAUGGAAUUUUUUUGUUUGAAACUUUACCCAGGUGCUGAACCAUCAAGAUAAGGAGGCCUAGGCUGACCAGGCAUCCAGUCAGCCGACAUGCUAACACGGUGACCAACAUUGGCGCCAAAGCUAGGCAACGGCGUAGCGGUGGAGAACUUGGACUUUGAAGAGGAAAGCACUGAAGGGAAAGCGGUGGCGAUGCCACAGCUCAUCAAUGUGUUGGUGGCGGCCAUGGGAGGAAAAUGGGUUUUCGUUUGGGG